AUACGUAGGUGACAAGCGUUAUCCGGAUUUACUGGGCGUAAAGGGCGUGUAGGCGGUCUUGCAAGUCAGAAGUGAAAUUCCUGAGCUCAACUCGGGCGCUGCUUCUGAAACUGCAGGACUUGAGUGCUGGAGGGGAUAGCGGAAUUCCUAGUGGAGCGGUAAAAUGCGCAGAUAUUAGGAAGAACACCGGUGGCGAAGGCGGCUAUCUGGACAGUAACUGACGCUGAGGCGCGAAAGCGUGGGGAGCAAACAGGAUUAGAUACCCUGGUAGUCCACACUGUAAACGAUGAUUACUAGGUGUGGGGGGUCUGACCCCCUCCGUGCCGCAGUUAACGCAAUAAGUAAUCCACCUGGGGAGUACGACCGCAAGGUUGAAACUUAAAGGAAUUGACGGGG
rnacentral:rRNA from 1 species